AAAUAAGAAACAAUGUAUUGUAUUUAGUUUCGACCUAAAAAUUAGAUUUUUUUAAUCCUUAUUUG
rnacentral:tRNA from 1 species